CGUGGGUGAUCUGCCCUGCACUCUGGGAUAAGCUUGGGAAACUGGGUCUAAUACCGGAUAUGACCGCAGCAUGCAUGUGUUGUGGUGGAAAGAUUUAUCGGUGCAGGAUGGGCCCGCGGCCUAUCAGCUUGUUGGUGGGGUAAUGGCCUACCAAGGCGACGACGGGUAGCCGACCCGAGAGGGUGACCGGCCACACUGGGACUGAGACACGGCCCAGACUCCUACGGGAGGCAGCAGUGGGGAAUAUUGCACAAUGGGCGGAAGCCUGAUGCAGCGACGCCGCGUGAGGGAUGAAGGCCUUCGGGUUGUAAACCUCUUUCAGCAGGGACGAAGCGUGAGUGACGGUACCUGCAGAAGAAGCACCGGCUAACUACGUGCCAGCAGCCGCGGUAAUACGUAGGGUGCGAGCGUUGUCCGGAAUUACUGGGCGUAAAGAGUUCGUAGGCGGUUUGUCGCGUCGUUUGUGAAAACCCGGGGCUCAACU
rnacentral:rRNA from 1 species